rnacentral:sRNA from 2 species
UAAUAUAAGUGGCUGAAUUUGAGUAUUAAGCACUCAGAACGGGGGAUAUAUUUUGGGGUGAAUCACGUUUACUGUAACGUGUAGGGCUUGAACCUUUAGUCCGAACCCGUCAACUAACCUCGUAAGCUAAGAAAGGUGGAUGA